rnacentral:rRNA from 1 species
AGAGUUUGAUCCUGGCUCAGAUUGAACGCUGGCGGCAUGCUUUACACAUGCAAGUCGAACGGCAGCGCGGGGCAACCUGGCGGCGAGUGGCGAACGGGUGAGUAAUACAUCGGAACGUACCCAGAAGUGGGGGAUAACGUAGCGAAAGUUACGCUAAUACCGCAUACGAUCUACGGAUGAAAGUGGGGGACCUUCGGGCCUCAUGCUUUUGGAGCGGCCGAUGUCUGAUUAGCUAGUUGGUAGGGUAAAGGCCUACCAAGGCGACGAUCAGUAGCUGGUCUGAGAGGACGACCAGCCACACUGGAACUGAGACACGGUCCAGACUCCUACGGGAGGCAACAGUGGGGAAUUUUGGACAAUGGGCGCAAGCCUGAUCCAGCAAUGCCGCGUGAGUGAAGAAGGCCUUCGGGUUGUAAAGCUCUUUUGUCAGGGAAGAAACGGCUGCGGCUAAUAUCUGCGGCUAAUGACGGUACCUGAAGAAUAAGCACCGGCUAACUACGUGCCAGCAGCCGCGGUAAUACGUAGGGUGCAAGCGUUAAUCGGAAUUACUGGGCGUAAAGCGUGCGCAGGCGGUUUUGUAAGUCUGAUGUGAAAUCCCCGGGCUCAACCUGGGAAUUGCAUUGGAGACUGCAAGGCUAGAAUCUGGCAGAGGGGGGUAGAAUUCCACGUGUAGCAGUGAAAUGCGUAGAGAUGUGGAGGAACACCGAUGGCGAAGGCAGCCCCCUGGGUCAAGAUUGACGCUCAUGCACGAAAGCGUGGGGAGCAAACAGGAUUAGAUACCCUGGUAGUCCACGCCCUAAACGAUGUCUACUAGUUGUCGGGUUUUAAUUAACUUGGUAACGCAGCUAACGCGUGAAGUAGACCGCCUGGGGAGUACGGUCGCAAGAUUAAAACUCAAAUGAAUUGACGG